UCAUUGUUCUAUCUGUGGUAACAUGGUGCCGGAAGUGUAAAGCCGGUUUCGGCUUUAGUAUCUUUUUUUUCUUACUAUUGGUCCAUUCCUGAGUUAUCUUGUCCAAUAGAUAGCGUUUUUAUAGUCUUUCGUCGCAGUGUGAGUUCGCGGGGGAAAUAAGAUGUUUUGUAGCUACAGUUUUAACUUGUAUAUCUAAAUUAAUAAACGCAUUUUGAAAUGUGUUAUUGGUGAGUUUAUCGUUAGAUAUUUUGAGUACUGACAUACUUAAACUGUUGAGAUCGGCUUUCAAACGAGUAACACGUGACUGGCUUGCUAGUUAACGGUAUUCAUACAAUUCAUGGUAAUCGUAGCUAGCCAGCUUUCGAUAGCCAGAAUAAGGAAUAUUUUGUACCGAGACAAAGAACUCACCUCUCUUGCGUGCUAGCUGUGUAACGUUUAGUACUUGCCGUUUGAAAAUGAGUCUCUUUAAUUUAGAGCGGUUUCGUUUUGACAAGAAUAAACCGACAUCAAACCAGGACAAAUACAGCGGUUCCGUAUGUCCAGAGUCGGGAAAGGAGAAUAAACCAGCCCGAGUAACAACACCUGUAUCCAACCUUGGAAAACCUGGGCGGGGAGUAGUAUUUGAAGAUGUCAUCAGUGACUCUGACGAUUUGGCAAGUGACUCGAGAAGUGAUAAAUUAACACAAAGGGUGACGGAACCUGUAAAGGAAUCACUGAAGCAAGAGGUAAGAGAGAUGACUGAGACAUCUGAUAAGGAAGACAAAAUGGACAAGGAUCUGGAAGAGAGACUGGCCAAACUGCAGGAAAUCUUCCCUCAAAGAGACGGGAAGGAGCUGCUGGAGGUGAUUAAAAGCACAAGCACUUUGGAUGGUGCCGUAGCCUCAUGCCUGAUGUUUGGUGACAAAGACUCAACGCGAAAGAGGAAACAGGAUGGCUCCAGCAGUUCCCAAGACAGCGACGUGGUUCCACAGCCCAGUAAGAAGAGGAGAUCGUCUCUGCCUGAAGACUCUGAGGAGGGAGCAGAGCCCAGCUGGGAGAGACGGGAGGCCAUGGUCAGGAAACUGCAGAGGAAGUUCCCCGACCAGGAUAAGGAGGAACUGAGGUCCGUGCUCCAGGAACAUGAGUGGAAUGUGGAUGACGCCCUGGAGGUGCUGCGCAUGUUCUCGGACACAGAUGAAGACUCUAGUGCACCUGAAGUAUCCAGCUCCCCUGAAGUCAAGCAAAAGGAACUGAAUGCCAAGAGUAAUGCCAAACCAAGCAAAGCAAAGAGUGAUGCCAAGCCGAGCAGAGACCGCUGGGAGUCUAAGGAUAGCAAGGAGGAGGCCAGGCGAAGCAAUGCUUCCGCUCUGAAAUGGCUGUUCAAGAAACCUGCACCUGAAUCUAGGCCUAACUCCUCGUCCUCCUCUUCGACUUCUACCAGCCAGAAGCUCUCCAACGGGACCAGCGUGGCUAAGAAGGAGGCUUCGGAGAGGAAGAGGAAGGUUCGCGCCUCAUACGAAAGGGCCAGCAGCUCGGAGGAUGAGGACACAGAAGGGGCCAGCAGUGAGUUUGAGGGCGAGGACGACGAGCUAGAUUUUGUGGCGGAUGACGCGGGCACAUCCACGCUCAAAGGCCAGAUCCUGAGCUUCUUCCAGGAGGCCUCGCUGGAUGAGCUGUCCCUCAUCGCCGGCUGCUCGUUGAAGAAGGCCCAGAAGAUUGUGGAGCUACGGCCCUUUGCUGUUUGGCAGGACCUGGAGGAGGUGUUCCACAAAGAGAACGGCCUGUCUGCAGAGCUGCUGCUGGGCUGCAGGGUGGUGCUGAGGGAGAGAGCCGUGGUCCAGGGCCUCAUGUCCAAGUGCCAGACCAUCUCGGGCAAGAUGGUAAAGGGAGUCACCCAGGUCAUAGACAAGGACAUGGGCUCCAUGACCCAGCCCUCAGUCCUCAACAGAAAGUUGCAGUUGAAACCCUACCAGCUGAUUGGGCUGAAGUGGCUUCUCCUGCUGCACCAACACAAGCUGAAUGGAAUCCUGGCUGACGAGAUGGGUUUGGGAAAGACCAUCCAAGCCAUAGCCUUCCUGGGCAGACUGCACCAGGACGGCAUCGACGGCCCCCACCUCAUCACUGUGCCCUCCUCCACCCUUGAUAACUGGGUUCGUGAGCUAAAGCUGUGGUGCCCUAGUCUCAAGGUGUUAGUCUACUACGGCUCUGUGGAGGACCGGCGGUACCUGCGACAUGACAUCCUCAGCAAUCAGGUGGACUUCAACGUCAUCGUGUCCACCUACAAUCUGGCCAUCGGAAACGACAGCGACCGCAGUCUCUUCCGCAAGCUCAGACUGAAGUAUGCCGUGUUCGACGAGGGCCACAUGCUGAAAAACAUGAACUCCCUCCGUUACCGCCACCUCAUGGCCAUCAACGCGGAGCACCGGCUGCUCCUGACCGGCACCCCUCUGCAGAACAACCUGCUGGAGCUGAUGUCGCUGCUCAACUUCAUCAUGCCCUCCAUGUUCUCCAGCAGCACCACGCAGAUAGUCAAGAUGUUCUCCAUGAAAUCCCACGAGGAACAGAGUCGUUUUGAGAGGGACCGCAUCGCCCAGGCUAAACUCAUCAUGAAACCUUUCAUCCUCAGACGAGUUAAGAGCGAGGUUCUUAAGCAGCUGCCAGCGAAGGAGGAGAGGCUGGAAUUCUGCACCAUGAGCGAGAAGCAGCAGCUACUUUACCAGAACAUGGUGGGCAAGCUCAAGAAGUCUGCCAUCGGAGAGAAGAAAGUGCUGUGCAACGUGAUGAUGCAGUUGAGGAAGAUGGCCAACCACCCUCUGCUCCACCGGCAGUACUACACCACAGAGCGACUCGAGGCCAUGAGUCACCUCAUGCUCAAGGAGCCGACCCAUUUGGACGCGGACCCGGUGCUGAUCCAGGAGGACAUGGCGGUGAUGUCGGACUUUGAGCUUCACCGGCUGUGCCAGCAGUACUCGUCGCUGCACAAAUACCAGCUGGAGAAAGACCUACUGCUGGACUCCGGGAAGUUCCACCUGCUCCAGACGCUACUGGCCACACUUAAGACCAAGGGAGACCGGGUGGUACUCUUCAGUCAGUUCACCAUGAUGCUGGACAUUGUGGAGAUUCUGCUUAAACACCUGGGCCACCGCUACGUCCGACUGGAUGGCUCCACACCCAUAGCAGACAGGAUUGUGCUGAUUGACGACUACAACAUGGACCCGGAGAUCUUUGUGUUUCUGCUGUCGACGCGGGCGGGUGGCCUGGGCAUCAACCUGACCUCGGCCAACGUGGUCAUCAUGCACGACAUCGAUUGUAACCCCUACAACGACAAGCAGGCAGAGGACCGCUGCCACAGAUUGGGCCAGACUAGUGUCUGUCCAUCUCCUGCUACAGGACUGUCCAGGUGAUCAAGCUGAUCCAUAAGGACACCAUAGAGGGUGGCAUGCUGCAGCUGGGCCAGAAGAAGCUCAAACUGGAGCAGGACAUGACCGCUGCCGAGGAGGGUGAUGAGGGCACCAUGUCUGAGGAUAUGGCCGUCCUCCUCAAGGCAUCGCUGGGCCUGUGAGGGUCCGGGAGCUCCCUCCCUGGAGUUUCAUUGGGACUCACCCUGGAGCAUCCCACCCCUGACUGACCUGACUCACUGACUGACUGAACCCUGCCAUAGGUGGGUCUUUCCCUGCUACUCACUCUGCCCUUGAGACCUGAGAUGCAGCUGUGCACUUCCAACAGUCUGCACUGGAGAUGAUAUGGUUGUGUUGUUGGGAUUAUUGGCCUUUGCUGUCAGUAGCAGAGAUGGCGGGUGUCGUUGAAGGUCAGUGGCGACUCUGCUCUGUGCAGCACCUGGGGUGUAUUCAUUAGGAAGCAAAAGUGCCAAAACGGGGAGGGACUAACCUCAACUUGUCCAAUCAAUUAUCGUUUUCAGUGCAAGCGGUUUUCUGUUGCAAAUUGUUUUGCUAUGGAUUGCACUAAUGAACACACCCCAUACUCUGCUCUGAAACAAUGCCAGGGAACAGUUUGUCAAAGCAACUCUGUCUGUGCUGCCUUAUAGUGAUACAAUGAAGUCCUGCAGGGGACUGACUUCCAGGUGGUGACAGAGCUGCUCUGUUUAUGUAUCAUUGUGAUGUGACGUACUGUUGUCAAAACUUUUACUCGUCCGUUUGUAAUUUUGAUGUCCUUGUUGCAACAUCAACAGGGUUUGUCGAAACAUGAAAUAAAGAUUUCAAUAUUUAUUUUC